rnacentral:rRNA from 1 species
GACGAGGGGUCCUAGCGUUGUUCGGAAUCACUGGGCGUAAAGCGUAUGUAGGCGGCUUUCUAAGUCGGUUGUGAAAUCCCAUGGCUUAACCAUGGAAUUGCAUUCGAAACUGGAGAGCUUGAGUGUGGGAGAGAUUGGUAGAAUACCUGGUGUAGUGGUGAAAUACGUAGAUAUCGGGAGGAACACCAGUGGCGAAGGCGGCGACCUGGGCCAAUAUUGACGCUGAGGUGCGAAAGCGUGGGGAGCAAACAGG